GGGGUUGUGGCUCAGUGGUAGAGUUCUCACCUAACAUGUGUGAGUCUCACCUAACAUGUGUGAGGCACUGGGUUCAAUCCUCAGCACCACA
rnacentral:tRNA from 1 species